CAUGUAGACGGCAUAGCAAGCCAAAUGUGAAAUUUAGGGGCUUAACCUCUAAACUGCGUUUGGAACUGCUGAGCUUGAGUGCAGGAGAGGCAAGUGGAAUUCCCAGUGUAGCAGUGAAAUGCGUAGAUAUUGGGAGGAACACCAGUGGCGAAGGCGACUUGCUGGACUGCAACUGACGUUGAGAUGCGAAAAGCUAGGGGAGCAAACG
rnacentral:rRNA from 1 species